rnacentral:rRNA from 1 species
AUUGAACGCUGGCGGCAGGCUUAACACAUGCAAGUCGAGCGAGCGGCGGACGGGUGAGUAAUGUCUGGGAAACUGCCUGAUGGAGGGGGAUAACUACUGGAAACGGUAGAUAAUACCGCAUACCAUCAGAAGUGCCAAGAUGGGAGUAGCUAGGAGGUGGGGUAAUGGCGCACCAAGGCGACGAUCCCUAGCUGGUCUGAGAGGAUGACAGGCCACAGUGGAACUUGGACACGGUCCAGACUCCUACGGCAGGCAGCAGUGGGGAAUAUUGCACAAUGGGCUCAAGCCUGAUGCAGCCAUGCCGCGUGUUUGAAGAAGGCCUUCGGGUUGUAAAGCACGUUCAGCGAGGAGGCGUUACUCGCAGAAGAAGCACCGGCUAACUCCGUGCCAGCAGCCGCGGUAAUUC